rnacentral:rRNA from 1 species
GAUGAACGCUAGCCACAGGCCUAACACAUGCAAGUCACGGGGCAGCGGGGUAUCCGCUUCGGCGGUUACUGCCGGCGACCGGCGCUAGGGUGAGUAACGCGUACCCGACCUGCCCCUUGCCCGGGGCCAGCCCCCCGAAAGGGGGAUUAAUCCCCGGCGGUGUCCCGAAGCCGCAUGACAUCGGGACCGAAGGAGUGAUCCGGCAAGGGAUGGGGGUGCGUUCCAUUAGCUUGACGGCGGGGUAACGGCCCACCGUGGCUACGAUGGAUAGGGGUUCUGAGAGGAAGGCCCCCCACACUGGGACUGAGACACGGCCCAGACUCCUACGGGAGGCAGCAGUGAGGAAUAUUGGUCAAUGGGCGAGAGCCUGAACCAGCCAAGUGGCGUGGAGGACGACGGCCCUACGGGUUGUAAACUCCUUUUGGAGGGGAAUAAAGGUACCCACGCGUGGGUGUUUGCAUGUACCCUCCGAAUAAGCAUCGGCUAACUCCGUGCCAGCAGCCGCGGUAAUACGGAGGAUGCGGGCUUAUCCGGAUUUAUUGGGGCUUGAGGGGAGCGUAGACGGGAGGACAAGUCGGCCGUAAAAUUCCGGGGCUCAACCCCGGCGAGCGGUCGAAACUGCCCUUCUUGAGCCCGGCCGGGGCAGGCGGAAUUCGUGGUGUAGCGGUGAAAUGCUUAGAUAUCACGAAGAACUCCGAUCGCGAAGGCAGCCUGCCAGCCCGGCGCUGACGUUGAUGCUCGAAGGUGCGGGUAUCGAACAGGAUUAGAUACCCUGGUAGUCCGCACGGUAAACGAUGGACACCCGCCGUGGGCGACACACUGUCCGCGGCCAAGCGAAAGCGUUAAGUGUCCCGCCUGGGGAGUACGCCGGCAACGGUGAAACUCAAAGGAAUUGACGGGGGCCCGCACAAGCGGAGGAACAUGUGGUUUAAUUCGAUGAUACGCGAGGAACCUUACCCGGGCAUGAACGGGGAGCGUCGCUGCCUGGAAACGGGCGGUUUUCCCUUCGGGGGCGCUUUCCGAGGUGCUGCAUGGGUUGUCGUCAGCUCGUGCCGUGAGGUGUCGGCUUAAAGUGCCAUAACGAGCGCAACCCCUGCGUCCAGUUGCCAUCGCGUGGCGGCGGGGAAUCUUGAACGGACUGCCGGCGCAAGCCGCGAGGAAGGGGGGAACGACGUUAAAAUCGGCCGGGCCCUUUACUUCCGGGGCGACACACGUGUUACAAUGGCGCGCAACAGCGGGGAGCGACCGGGCGACCGGGAGCGGAUCCCGAAACCGCGUCACAGUUCGGAUUGGAGCCUGCAACCCGGCUCCAUGAAGCUGGAUUCGCUAGUAAUCGCGCAUCAGCCAUGGCGCGGUGAAUACGUUCCCGGGCCUUCUACACACCCCCCGCCAAGCCAAGAAAGCCGGGGGUACCUCAAGUGCGUCACCGCGAGGGGCCCCCUAGGGUAAAACCGGUGAUUGGGGCUA